GACGAACGCUGGCGGCGUGCCUAAUACAUGCAAGUCGAGCGCACAGGCGAGGUGCUUGUUCCUCGGGCGUUAGCGGCGGACGGGUGAGUAAAACGUGGGUAACCUCCCUAUAAGACUGGGAUAACAUCGGGAAACCGGAGCUAAUACCGCAUAAUAUCUUUAACCGCAUGGUUCAAUAGUGAAAGACGGUUUUGCUGUCACUUAUGGUUGGCUCGCCGCCGCUUUGGCUGGUGGUUAUGGUAAGGCCCUCCAAGGCCAACGCUGCUAAGCCGACUUGCCGGGCUGAGAGGGCGCCCGGGAACUGAGGCACGGUCCAGAGGCCUAGGGGAGGCAGCGGUGGGGAAGUUUGGGCAAUGGGCGAAUGCCUGCCGGAGCAACGCCGCGUGGGUGAGGAAGGUCUUCGGAUCUUAAAGUUCUGUUACUAGGGAAGACCAGAUGUGGAAGUAACGAUGCACGUCGUGACGGUACCGGGUCAGAAAGCGACGGCUAACUACGUG
rnacentral:rRNA from 1 species